rnacentral:rRNA from 1 species
CAGCAGCCGCGGUAAUACGUAGGUGGCAAGCGUUGUCCGGAAUUAUUGGGCGUAAAGCGCGCGCAGGCGGAUCGGUCAGUCUGUCUUAAAAGUUCGGGGCUUAACCCCGUGAUGGGAUGGAAACUGCCAAUCUAGAGUAUCGGAGAGGAAAGUGGAAUUCCUAGUGUAGCGGUGAAAUGCGUAGAUAUUAGGAAGAACACCAGUGGCGAAGGCGACUUUCUGGACGAAAACUGACGCUGAGGCGCGAAAGCCAGGGGAGCGAACGGGAUUAGAUACCCCUGUAGUCCCUGUCUCUUAUACA